AAGGGUGCGUAGGCGGGCGAUUAAGUCGGUGGUCAAAUCGAGGAGCUCAACUUCUCUUCGCCAUUGAAACUGGUUGUCUGGAGUUGAUGAGAAGUAUGCGGAAUGCGUAGUGUAGCGGUGAAAUGCAUAGAUAUUACGCAGAACUCCGAUUGCGAAGGCAGCAUACCGGCAUCAAACUGACGCUGAAGCACGAAAGCGUGGGUAUCGAACAGGAUUAGAUACCCUGGUAGUCCACGCAGUAAACGAUGAAUACUAAUUGUUCGAGUGGUAACACUUGAGUGAUACAGCGAAAGCGUUAAGUAUUCCACCUGGGGAGUACGCCGGCAACGGUGAAACUCAAAGGAAUUGACGGGGGCCCGCACAAGCGGAGGAACAUGUGGUUUAAUUCGAUGAUACGCGAGGAACCUUACCCGGGCUCAAACGCAUGAGGCAUAUCGGUGAAAGUCGAUAGUCUUCGGACCUUAUGCGAGGUGCUGCAUGGUUGUCGUCAGCUCGUGCCGUGAGGUGUCGGCUUAAGUGCCAUAACGAGCGCAACCCUUAUUGAUAGUUGCUAACAGGUAAAGCUGAGGACUCUAUCGAGACUGCCAGCGCAAGCUGUGAGGAAGGCGGGGAUGACGUCAAAUCAGCACGGCCCUUACGUCCGGGGCGACACACGUGUUACAAUGGCAGGUACAGCGGGAAGCCAUAUGGCGACAUAGCGCAGAACCCGAAAACCUGUCUCAGUUCGGAUUGGAGUCUGCAACUCGACUCCAUGAAGCUGGAUUCGCUAGUAA
rnacentral:rRNA from 1 species